AAAUUGAAGAGUUUGAUCAUGGCUCAGAUUGAACGCUGGCGGCAGGCUUAACACAUGCAAGUCGAGCGGAAACGAGUUAUCUGAACCUUCGGGGAACGAUAACGGCGUCGAGCGGCGGACGGGUGAGUAAUGCCUAGGAAAUUGCCCUGAUGUGGGGGAUAACCAUUGGAAACGAUGGCUAAUACCGCAUGAUGCCUACGGGCCAAAGAGGGGGACCUUCGGGCCUCUCGCGUCAGGAUAUGCCUAGGUGGGAUUAGCUAGUUGGUGAGGUAAGGGCUCACCAAGGCGACGAUCCCUAGCUGGUCUGAGAGGAUGAUCAGCCACACUGGAACUGAGACACGGUCCAGACUCCUACGGGAGGCAGCAGUGGGGAAUAUUGCACAAUGGGCGCAAGCCUGAUGCAGCCAUGCCGCGUGUGUGAAGAAGGCCUUCGGGUUGUAAAGCACUUUCAGUCGUGAGGAAGGUAGUGUAGUUAAUAGCUGCAUUAUUUGACGUUAGCGACAGAAGAAGCACCGGCUAACUCCGUGCCAGCAGCCGCGGUAAUACGGAGGGUGCGAGCGUUAAUCGGAAUUACUGGGCGUAAAGCGCAUGCAGGUGGUUUGUUAAGUCAGAUGUGAAAGCCCGGGGCUCAACCUCGGAAUAGCAUUUGAAACUGGCAGACUAGAGUACUGUAGAGGGGGGUAGAAUUUCAGGUGUAGCGGUGAAAUGCGUAGAGAUCUGAAGGAAUACCGGUGGCGAAGGCGGCCCCCUGGACAGAUACUGACACUCAGAUGCGAAAGCGUGGGGAGCAAACAGGAUUAGAUACCCUGGUAGUCCACGCCGUAAACGAUGUCUACUUGGAGGUUGUGGCCUUGAGCCGUGGCUUUCGGAGCUAACGCGUUAAGUAGACCGCCUGGGGAGUACGGUCGCAAGAUUAAAAACUCAAAUGAAUUGACGGGGGCCCGCACAAGCGGUGGAGCAUGUGGUUUAAUUCGAUGCAACGCGAAGAACCUUACCUACUCUUGACAUCCAGAGAACUUUCCAGAGAUGGAUUGGUGCCUUCGGGAGCUCUGAGACAGGUGCUGCAUGGCUGUCGUCAGCUCGUGUUGUGAAAUGUUGGGUUAAGUCCCGCAACGAGCGCAACCCUUAUCCUUGUUUGCCAGCGAGUAAUGUCGGGAACUCCAGGGAGACUGCCGGUGAUAAACCGGAGGAAGGUGGGGACGACGUCAAGUCAUCAUGGCCCUUACGAGUAGGGCUACACACGUGCUACAAUGGCGCAUACAGAGGGCGGCCAACUUGCGAAAGUGAGCGAAUCCCAAAAAGUGCGUCGUAGUCCGGAUUGGAGUCUGCAACUCGACUCCAUGAAGUCGGAAUCGCUAGUAAUCGUGGAUCAGAAUGCCACGGUGAAUACGUUCCCGGGCCUUGUACACACCGCCCGUCACACCAUGGGAGUGGGCUGCAAAAGAAGUAGGUAGUUUAACCUUCGGGGGGACGCUUACCACUUUGUGGUUCAUGACUGGGGUGAAGUCGUAACAAGGUAGCGCUAGGGGAACCUGGCGCUGGAUCACCUCCUUAAACGAUGAU
rnacentral:rRNA from 1 species